rnacentral:tRNA from 1 species
ACCCUCAAAGGAUAACAGCCAUCCACUAACCUUAGGAGUUAGGACAUCUUGGUGCAACUCCAAGUGAGAGUA